AGUGAACGCUGGCGGUAGGCCUAACACAUGCCAGUCGAACGGCAGCACAGUAAGAGCUUGCUCUUACGGGUGGCGAGUGGCGGACGGGUGAGGAAUACAUCGGAAUCUACUUUUUCGUGGGGGAUAACGUAGGGAAACUUACGCUAAUACCGCAUACGACCUACGGGUGAAAGCAGGGGAUCUUCGGACCUUGCGCGAUUGAAUGAGCCGAUGUCGGAUUAGCUAGUUGGCGGGGUAAAGGCCCACCAAGGCGACGAUCCGUAGCUGGUCUGAGAGGAUGAUAAGCGACACUGGAACUGAGACACGGUCCAGACUCCUACGGGAGGCAGCAGUGGGGAAUAUUGGACAAUGGGCGCAAGCCUGAUCCAGCCAUACCGCGUGGGUGAAGAAGGCCUUCGGGUUGUAAAGCCCUUUUGUUGGGAAAGAAAAGCAGCAGGUUAAUACCCCGCUGUUCUGACGGUACCCAAAGAAUAAGCACCGGCUAACUUCGUG
rnacentral:rRNA from 1 species